GAUCCUGGCUCAGAGCGAACGUUAGCGGCGCGCCUAACACAUGCAAGUCGCACGAGAAAGGGGGCAACCCCCGGUACAGUGGCGCACGGGUGAGUAACACGUGGGUGAUCUGCCCAGAAGAAGGGGAUAACCUCUCGAAAGGGGGGCUAAUACCGCAUAGGACCACCGGGGCUUUGGCUCUGUGGUGAAAGGGGGCCUCUGUUUACAAGCUCCUGCUUCUGGAUGAGCCCGCGUCCCAUCAGCUAGUUGGUAGGGUAAUGGCCUACCAAGGCUACGACGGGUAGCUGGUCUAAGAGGAUGGCCAGCCACACUGGAACUGAGACACGGUCCAGACUCCUACGGGAGGCAGCAGUGGGGAAUCUUGCGCAAUGGGCGAAAGCCUGACGCAGCGACGCCGCGUGGGUGACGAAGGCCUUCGGGUUGUAAAGCCCUGU
rnacentral:rRNA from 1 species